AGCAUAUCAUAGCGGAGGAAAAGAAACCAACAGGAUGCCCUAGUAACGGCGAGUGAAGCGGCAACAGCUCAAAUUUGAAAUCUGGCGCAAGCCCGAGUUGUAAUUUGUAGAGGAUGUUUCUGGCGACGCGCCUUCCGAGUUCCCUGGAACGGGACGCCAUAGAGGGUGAGAGCCCCGUACGGUUGGAUGCCUAGCCUCUGUGAAACUCCUUCGACGAGUCGAGUAGUUUGGGAAUGCUGCUCUAAAUGGGAGGUAUACGUCUUCUAAAGCUAAAUACCGGCCAGAGACCGAUAGCGCACAAGUAGAGUGAUCGAAAGAUGAAAAGCACUUUGAAAAGAGGGUUAAAAAGUACGUGAAAUUGUUGAAAGGGAAGCGUUCAUGACCAGACUUGGGCAGGUUGAUCAUCCGUGGUUCUCCGCGGUGCACUCUGCCUGCCCAGGCCAGCAUCAGUUCGCUCCGGGGGAUAAAGGCUCUGGGAAUGUGGCUCCUUCGGGAGUGUUAUAGCCCACUGCGUAAUACCCUGGGGUGGACUGAGGUUCGCGCUCUGCAAGGAUGCUGGCGUAAUGGUCAUCAACGACCCGUCUUGAAACACGGACCAAGGAGUCGUCUUCGUAUGCGAGUGUUCGGGUGUCAAACCCCUACGCGUAAUGAAAGUGAACGUAGGAGAGAGCUUCGGCGCAUCUCCGACCGAUCCUGAUGUUCUCGGAUGGAUUUGAGUAAGAGCAUACGGGGCCGGACCCGAAAGAAGGUGAACUAUGCCUGUAUAGGGUGAAGCCAGAGGAAACUCUGGUGGAGGCUCGCAGCGGUUCUGACGUGCAAAUCGAUCGUCAAAUAUGGGCAUGGGGGCGAAGACUAAUCGAACAUAUAGUAGCUGGUUCCGCGAG
rnacentral:rRNA from 1 species